rnacentral:tRNA from 1 species
AGGGACGUCGUCAAGUGGUAAGACACUUGCCUUUGGAGCAAGCAUCCCAGGUUCGAAUCCUGGCGUCCCUG